rnacentral:rRNA from 1 species
AUAUAGAGACCGGCGCACGGGUGCGUAACGCGUAUGCAACCUACCUUUCACAGGGGGAUAGCCCAGAGAAAUUUGGAUUAAUACCCCAUGGUAUUAUGAGAUGGCAUCAUUUUAUAAUUAAAGUCACAACGGUGAAAGAUGGGCAUGCGUCCCAUUAGCUAGAUGGUAAGGUAACGGCUUACCAUGGCUACGAUGGGUAGGGGUCCUGAGAGGGAGAUCCCCCCCACUGGUACUGAGACACGGACCAGACUCCUACGGGAGGCAGCAGUGAGGAAUAUUGGACAAUGGGCGCAAGCCUGAUCCAGCCAUGCCGCGUGCAGGAUGACGGUCCUAUGGAUUGUAAACUGC